UUUUUUGCUGAGAGUCAAACAAAACAUGACAAACGUUUAUGAAAAUUAACUUAGUAGUAAUGCUGCUUAUUAUACAUGUUUAUGUUUAAGAUAUGUUUUUUCUUGCUCUUUUUUCUCUCUCAGCGUUCUGGAGGUUGGGUAUAUCAUGAUGGGAAAUGGAAGUAUGAGUCACGGGUGGAAAAGGAUCUGUCAGGAUCUGGAUUUGGAUCCGGUGAUGGCACAGAGAAUCCUUUCAACUCAAGAGAUGAAAUACUGAAGCAGAAUGAGCCAAGACGACUCGUGGAAUAGCCAGGAUGACUAGAAGAACUUGUGGACCAAUUUUCUCACUUCCUGGCUCUAUUAAACAUUUUUGUUUUUAUCUUGGAAUCAUUGUUGGCCGUACUAUUAAAUUUCACAGCAUUAAGAAAUGAUUUCAAAUGUUAGAUGCAAACAAAAAAACUAUCCAAUAAAAAAAAAAAUCAAAUGAUAU
ensembl:lncRNA